rnacentral:lncRNA from 1 species
AUGCUUGAUAUUAAGUAUGUUUGUAGUCUCAUAUGUGUAAAAGUCAAAUAUACCAUCAGUAGCCAGGAAACACUGAGCAAUAUGUUUUUACAGUACCUCAAAUACGGUCAAAUAUGCAAUCUCUGGAGGCAUAAAUAUGAGGCUUUUAUUUUGGCAUUUCUCCACACUGGUGCAGUAAAGAUACUUGAUAUAAAGUGUUUUUUUAUUCAUCAGGGGCGCAUGAAACACUUUAAUGUAACAUAUUUUAAUUAUAGCUUACUGUUCUAAAUACCUUUAUUUUGAAAACCGGAAGUAAAUACGCUGUUUCUCCGCAUUUAUCAUAAUGCUGAGAAUACUUGUACACUCUAAAUUUAAGUGCGGCUGAUUUGACCACGGAGAUCGGACUCACGGCUGGAUUGACCGCAGUCUACUAGCCUACUGUUUCUUCUACACAGCACCGUCCUGUAAAUGACAACAUCCGGUCUCAGAAUAUGAAACAACAGGCCUUUUUUCCGUUUCUGUUUUCUAGUGAUUUUAUUUUUUGUUAUAUGAAAUAGAAAAUGAAAAUCGAAUAUUUUUUUUAAUUUCGCUCAUCCCUUUCUGACCAUGAAAAAGAAAAACGCCUUGUAUUUCAAUUUAAAUUUUUGUAUUUUAAAACGAAAAUCAAAUAACCACUCGUUUUCUGUUUUUUAAUACCCGUUUCUGAAAGGAAAAUCCAAUGACCAAAACAUACACGGACCGACUUGCAUAGCUUUGCUAAACAAAUGUAACCAGUGAAAGAAGGUGAGAUAUCUGCAUUACACAGUUUUACUCUGUUCAUCAAAUUAUGUUCAAUAGUUCUGCUGUUGAGCUAAAGUAUUGUAGGUCCGUGUAUGUUUUGGUCAUUGGAUGUUCCUUUCAGAAACGGGUAUUAAAAACAGAAAACGAGUGGUUAUUUGAUUUUCGUUUUAAAAUACAAAAAUUAAAAUUGAAAUACAAGGCGUUUUUCUUUUUCAUGGUCAGAAAGGGAUAAGCGAAAUUUAAAAAAUUAUUUGAUUUUCAUUUUUUAUUUCAUAUAA